rnacentral:rRNA from 1 species
AUUGAACGCUGGCGGCAGGCUUAACACAUGCAAGUCGAACGAUGAUUAUCUAGCUUGCUAGAUAUGAUUAGUGGCGGACGGGUGAGUAACAUUUAGGAAUCUGCCUAGUAGUGGGGGAUAGCUCGGGGAAACUCGAAUUAAUACCGCAUACGACCUACGGGUGAAAGGGGGCGCAAGCUCUUGCUAUUAGAUGAGCCUAAAUCAGAUUAGCUAGUUGGUGGGGUAAAGGCCCACCAAGGCGACGAUCUGUAACUGGUCUGAGAGGAUGAUCAGUCACACCGGAACUGAGACACGGUCCGGACUCCUACGGGAGGCAGCAGUGGGGAAUAUUGGACAAUGGGGGCAACCCUGAUCCAGCCAUGCCGCGUGUGUGAAGAAGGCCUUUUGGUUGUAAAGCACUUUAAGCAGGGAGGAGAGGCUAAUGGUUAAUACCCAUUAGAUUAGACGUUACCUGCAGAAUAAGCACCGGCUAACUCUGUGCCAGCAGCCGCGGUAAUACAGAGGGUGCGAGCGUUAAUCGGAAUUACUGGGCGUAAAGCGAGUGUAGGUGGCUCAUUAAGUCACAUGUGAAAUCCCCGGGCUUAACCUGGGAACUGCAUGUGAUACUGGUGGUGCUAGAAUAUGUGAGAGGGAAGUAGAAUUCCAGGUGUAGCGGUGAAAUGCGUAGAGAUCUGGAGGAAUACCGAUGGCGAAGGCAGCUUCCUGGCAUAAUAUUGACACUGAGAUUCGAAAGCGUGGGUAGCAAACAGGAUUAGAUACCCUGGUAGUCCACGCCGUAAACGAUGUCUACUAGCCGUUGGGGUCCUUGAGACUUUAGUGGCGCAGUUAACGCGAUAAGUAGACCGCCUGGGGAGUACGGCCGCAAGGUUAAAACUCAAAUGAAUUGACGGGGGCCCGCACAAGCGGUGGAGCAUGUGGUUUAAUUCGAUGCAACGCGAAGAACCUUACCUGGUCUUGACAUAGUGAGAAUCCUGCAGAGAUGCGGGAGUGCCUUCGGGAAUUCACAUACAGGUGCUGCAUGGCUGUCGUCAGCUCGUGUCGUGAGAUGUUGGGUUAAGUCCCGCAACGAGCGCAACCCUUUUCCUUGUUUGCCAGCGGGUUAAGCCGGGAACUUUAAGGAUACUGCCAGUGACAAACUGGAGGAAGGCGGGGACGACGUCAAGUCAUCAUGGCCCUUACGACCAGGGCUACACACGUGCUACAAUGGUAGGUACAGAGGGUUGCUACACAGCGAUGUGAUGCUAAUCUCAAAAAGCCUAUCGUAGUCCGGAUUGGAGUCUGCAACUCGACUCCAUGAAGUCGGAAUCGCUAGUAAUCGCAGAUCAGAAUGCUGCGGUGAAUACGUUCCCGGGCCU